UACCUACGGGAGGCAGCAGUGGGGAAUAUUGCACAAUGGGGGAAACCCUGAUGCAGCGACGCCGCGUGAGUGAUGAAGUAUUUCGGUAUGUAAAGCUCUAUCAGCAGGAAAGAAAAUGACGGUACCUGACGAAGAAGCCCCGGCUAACUACGUACCAGCAGCGGCGGUAAUACGUAGGGGGCAAGCGUUAUCCGGAUUUACUGGGUGUAAAGGGAGCGUAGACGGCAGCGAAAGUCUGGAGGGAAAUGC
rnacentral:rRNA from 1 species